GUCUUCACUCAUUUUGUCGCCCCUCCCUCUCUCAUUCGAUAAUAUUCAAUUAUUUUUCUUUAAAUAUUUCACCCCAAAGCUAUGCCUCGUUUUAAGUAUUGUAACUCCCAAUCACCGCUACCCUUUCCGAUUGAUCUGAGCCUCAGGGCUCUGCCUGACUAAGUUGUUGGGAUUUGGUCUCGGGACUUCGGGACAAGGUUGAUUUAGGGGUACUAUACUUAUCACGAAUACAUUAUAUAUUUUUAAUAGCCCAAAAGUUAUAACCAAAAUUUAUACUAGGAAUCCUUCUAGUUGAACCCUAAAGUUACACAGUGGGUCCAUCCCUUUUUCCCACCAUUUUAUUCUCUUUUUGUGAGUUACCCAAAACUAUUAUUUAUUAUUUAUUAUUUCUAUUUUAUAAACAAACUUUUAUCAAUAGUCAUGCCUAUUAUUUUAUUGACCCAAUAGGGAACCAUAGUUGAGACACCCAAGUAAUCCUGCACAACCCCUAAAAUUUCCAGAACAAUCAGAAUCAGGAUCAGGGCCCCUAAAACUCAGGGGGGGCAAAACCCUAGUUACGAUAAUCUAAAUAACUUUCUGGCCGUUUAGAAUUUUAUAAUUUCAUCGACUCAGCUAAGCUACUUAGACACGAAGCUACCUAUAGAAAAUAGGUUACCACUCGCGUAGCGCGACGCCCAUGGGGGGUACCCCUCGCGCUACGCGACGGUGUCAAAAUUCGGGUAUAAAUAGAGGGGGUUGGGACUUGAAUUCUGUCUUUGGAACGACGUAAAUCCGAGUUACGUAGAUCAAGUUAUCACAGAAACAGUCCAACACACACACACUAAUAUCGAAUCGCUGCCGCAGAACAGGGUAAUUACUCGAUCGCUAUUACGAUUCAGUUUCUGGGAUCAAUAUACCCAAAGAAUGUCUAAGUGCCGCCCACAUUGGGUUAUGCUUUUACUAUACUUUGUCGUUUGUCAUUUUGAUAAAUGAGUUGAAGUAUUGCACUUGGUCAUUCAUUGUGAGAAUUUGAUCUCGGGAAAUUAUCGUAACUGCUGUAUUGAGCAUUAACCCGGUUUUUGUGAAAUUCGUUAAGGUUGAUUUAGGUUUUUCACCAAUACGUAUUCUAUUCUGUUAAACCACCAAAAACACUCCCAACUACACCCUUACAAUCAAACAAACUAUUAAAUCAUCAGAAGAUCCAGAAUAAUAAAUGCCUAAUUAUCAAAAGAAGUAGAAUCAAGAAGUUUGUUAAUUCAAUCCUGCAUGCUGAAUUGUGAGUCAUUCUCUUUUUAUUAACUGUUUUACAAUACUCCAAAUCAUUUUCCAAAAGUUAUAAUUACAGUGAUUAAGUUUAUGUAAUCACCAAAUUACAGCCGGUAUGUGGGGUAUUGUGCACAGUAUUAUUAUUGUUUUAAUCACAUUAGGUGGGCGAGCCUAAAAGAAAGUGAUAUACGUCACUCAUUGGGCCAGCCAAUGGUGAUAUGACCACAGUCACAGAGCUGGUCUGUGACAAAUACCUAUUCGUGAAAUGUUGGUUGAUAAUAAACAUAUGUAAAAACUCUUAAUACUGUAAAUUAUAACAAAUGUGUCGUUUUCAGUAAAAUGAAUGAACUCACUCAGUAUUUCCCGCUGACAAAACCUUUUUAAAACGCGUUUCAGGUAAUUACAGUAGAUUGGAGUAAGGAUUGGAUCCGGCACUAAAAGAUUUCAAGAAGUGGCUUAUUUUAUUAAUUACAUCAAAUUAAAAAGUAUUGUUUUUAUUAAAAGCUACCUUUGUAAAAUUUGGAAUUUAUUCCAUCCAUUUAAAUAAAACCCGG
rnacentral:lncRNA from 1 species